rnacentral:rRNA from 1 species
AGAGUUUGAUCCUGGCUCAGGACGGACGCUGGCGGCGCGCCUAACACAUGCAAGUCGAACGAGAGAUGAGGAGCUUGCUCUUCAAAUCGAGUGGCGAACGGGUGAGUAACGCGUGAGGAACCUGCCUCAAAGAGGGGGACAACAGUUGGAAACGACUGCUAAUACCGCAUAAGCCCACAGCUCGGCAUCGAGCAGAGGGAAAAGGAGUGAUCCGCUUUGAGAUGGCCUCGCGUCCGAUUAGCUAGUUGGUGAGGUAACGGCCACCAAGGCGACGAUCGGUAGCCGGACUGAGAGGUUGAACGGCCACAUUGGGACUGAGACACGGCCCAGACUCCUACGGGAGGCA